GACGAACGCUGGCGGCGUGCUUAACACAUGCAAGUCGAACGGAAAGGCCCUGCUUUUGUGGGGUGCUCGAGUGGCGAACGGGUGAGUAACACGUGAGUAACCUGCCCUUGACUUUGGGAUAACUUCAGGAAACUGGGGCUAAUACCGGAUAGGAGCUCCUGCUGCAUGGUGGGGGUUGGAAAGUUUCGGCGGUUGGGGAUGGACUCGCGGCUUAUCAGCUUGUUGGUGGGGUAGUGGCUUACCAAGGCUUUGACGGGUAGCCGGCCUGAGGGGGUGACCGGCCACAUGGGACUGAGAUACGGCCCAGACUCCUACGGGAGGCAGCAGUGGGGAAUAUUGCACAAUGGGCGGAAGCCUGAUGCAGCAACGCCGCGUGCGGGAUGACGGCCUUCGGGUUGUAAACCGCUUUCGCCUGUGACGAAGCGUGAGUGACGGUAAUGGGUAAAGAAGCACCGGCUAACUACGUG
rnacentral:rRNA from 1 species